GGCGGCGUGGCCAAGUGGUAAGGCAAGGGUCUGCAAAACCCUCAUACACCGGUUCGAAUCCGGUCGCCGCCU
rnacentral:tRNA from 1 species